AAGAUCAUACUUCACAGGAUCAUUUCUGUAGUAUAUCUUCACACAUUCUCAACUCAAAUUGAGAGUGGUUGCAUCCUCGACGAUGAGAUGAAGUGUCGAUUCCUGAGCGUGAGGCAGACUCGAGGAACUCCUUACGGAGAUCCUUGUAGUCAUCGAUGAUCGUUCACCUGGACUUUUCUGGGUUACGGUUUCGACACAUUCUGAGGGGU